UUAAUUUCGUUUAAAAAAUUGUAUCAGACUUCAGUAAUCCGCGUGGGUUUGCAAUGCCGACCCGCGGCCGACAGGCGGUACCCCGCCGGAUUAACGGUGGGGGCGCCCGAGAGCCAAGGGCCGAAACGAUGUGAGUUGCUUUCGCGUCUCAUGACAAAGGGCGGGUGAGUGGACGCGAGAUCCUAAACCCAGUAAUGAUCCUUCCGCAGGUUCACCUACGGAAA
rnacentral:misc_RNA from 1 species